GACGAACGCUGGCGGCGUGCUUAACACAUGCAAGUCGAACGGAAAGGCCCUGCUUUUGUGGGGUGCUCGAGUGGCGAACGUGUGAGUAACACGUGAGUAACCUGCCCUUGACUUUGGGAUAACUUCAGGACACUGUGGCUAAUACCGGAUAGGAGCUCCUGCUGCAUGUUGGUGGUUGGAUAGUUUCGUCGGUUGGGGAUGGACUCGCGGCUUAUCAGCUUGUUGGUGGGGUAGUGGCUUACCAAGGCUUUGACGGGUAGCCGGCCUGAGUGGGUGACCGGCAACAUUGGGACUGAGAAACGGCCAAGACUCCUACGGGAGGCAGAAGGGGGGAAAAUUGCAAAAUGGGCGGAAGCCGGAUGCAGCAACGCCGCGUGCGGGAUGAGGGCCUUCGGGUUGUAAACCGCUUUCGCCUGGGACGAAGCGUGAGUGACGGUAAUGGGUAAAGAAGCACCGGCUAACUACGUG
rnacentral:rRNA from 1 species